rnacentral:rRNA from 1 species
UACGUAGGUGGCAAGCGUUGUCCGGAUUUAUUGGGUUUAAAGGGUGCGUAGGCGGCUUUAUAAGUCAGUGCUGAAAUAUCCCGGCUUAACCGGGAGGGUGGCAUUGAUACUGCAGAGCUUGAGUGAAGUCGAGGUAGGCGGAAUUGACGGUGUAACGGUGAAAUGCUUAGAUAUCGUCAAGAACACCGAUAGUGAAGACAGCUUACUAGACUUCAACUGACGCUGAGGCACGAAAGUGUGGGGAUCAAACAGG